rnacentral:rRNA from 1 species
AAACGUUGAUCACUCGUGUUGGGCAAUACACCGUCAGCGACCUAGCUAAUGCGCUUAGUGAUGCACCUGGGGAGUACGAUCGCAAGGUUGAAACUCAAAGGAAUUGACGGGGGCCCGCACAAGCGGAGGAGCAUGUGGUUUAAUUCGAUGAUACGCGAGGAACCUUACCUGGGCUUAAAUGUAGUGUGCAUUCCCGUGAAUACGGGAUUUCCUUCGGGACCCACUACAAGGUGCUGCAUGGUUGUCGUCAGCUCGUGCCGUGAGGUGUCGGGUCAAGUCCCAUAACGAGCGCAACCCCUAUCUUUAGUUGCUAACAGGUCAUGCUGAGGACUCUAAAGAAACUGCCCGCGCAAGCGGUGAGGAAGGUGGGGAUGACGUCAAAUCAGCACGGCCCUUAUGUCCAGGGCUACACACGUGCUACAAUGGCAGGUACAGUGGGCAGCUAUCACGCAAGUGAAUGCUAAUCUCUAAAACCUGUCUCAGUCCGGAUUGGAGUCUGCAACCCGACUCCAUGAAGCUGGAUUCGCUAGUAAUCGCACAUCAGCCAUGGUGCGGUGAAUACGUUCCCGGGCAUUGUACACACCGCCCGUCAAGCCAUGGAAGCUGGGAGUACCUGAAGUCUGUAACCGUAAGGAGCGGCCUAAGGGUAAACCUGUGACUGGGGC